rnacentral:rRNA from 1 species
GCUCAGGAUGAACGCUGGCGGCGUGCUUAACACAUGCAAGUCGAACGAGCCUUCGGGCUAGUGGCGGACGGGUGAGUAACGCGUGGGAAUCUGCCCUCAGGAGGGGGAUAACGGCCGGAAACGGCCGCUAAUACCCCAUAUGCCGAGAGGUGAAAUGAAUUUCGCCUGAGGAUGAGCCCGCGUCUGAUUAGCUAGUUGGUGUGGUAAUGGCGCACCAAGGCUUCGAUCAGUAGCUGGUCUGAGAGGAUGAUCAGCCACACUGGGACUGAGACACGGCCCAGACUCCUACGGGAGGCAGCAGUGGGGAAUUUUCCGCAAUGGGCGCAAGCCUGACGGAGCAACGCCGCGUGAGGGACGAAGGCCUCUGGGCUGUAAACCUCUUUUCUCAAGGAAGAAGACAUGACGGUACUUGAGGAAUAAGCCACGGCUAAUUCCGUGCCAGCAGCCGCGGUAAUACGGGAGUGGCAAGCGUUAUCCGGAAUUAUUGGGCGUAAAGCGUCCGCAGGCGGCCCAGCAAGUCUGUUGUUAAAAAGUGGAGCUUAACUCCAUCCAGGCAAUGGAAACUGCUGGGCUAGAGUGUGGUAGGGGCAGAGGGAAUUCCCGGUGUAGCGGUGAAAUGCGUAGAUAUCGGGAAGAACACCAGUGGCGAAGGCGCUCUGCUGGGCCAUAACUGACGCUCAUGGACGAAAGCCAGGGGAGCGAAAGGGAUUAGAUACCCCUGUAGUCCUGGCCGUAAACGAUGAACACUAGGUGUCGGGGGAAUCGACCCCCUCGGUGUCGUAGCCAACGCGUUAAGUGUUCCGCCUGGGGAGUACGCACGCAAGUGUGAAACUCAAAGGAAUUGACGGGGGCCCGCACAAGCGGUGGAGUAUGUGGUUUAAUUCGAUGCAACGCGAAGAACCUUACCAGGGUUUGACAUCCUGCGAAUCCCUUGGAAACUUGGGAGUGCCUUCGGGAGCGCAGUGACAGGUGGUGCAUGGCUGUCGUCAGCUCGUGUCGUGAGAUGUUGGGUUAAGUCCCGCAACGAGCGCAACCCACGUCUUUAGUUGCCAGCAUUCAGUUGGGCACUCUAGAGAGACCGCCGGUGAUAAACCGGAGGAAGGUGUGGAUGACGUCAAGUCAUCAUGCCCCUUACAUCCUGGGCUACACACGUACUACAAUGCUACGGACAAAGGGCAGCAAACUCGCGAGAGCUAGCAAAUCCCAUAAACCGUGGCUCAGUUCAGAUCGUAGGCUGCAACUCGCCUACGUGAAGGAGGAAUCGCUAGUAAUCGCAGGUCAGCAUACUGCGGUGAAUACGUUCCCGGGCCUUGUACACACCGCCCGUCACACCAUGGAAGUUGGCCAUGCCCGAAGUCGUUACUCCAACCCGUAAGGGAGGAGGACGCCGAAGGUGGGGCUGAUGACUGGGGUGAAGUCGU